rnacentral:rRNA from 1 species
GGUCCCGCCUGCCCUGUGACUAUUAGUUUAACGGCCGCGGUAUUUUGACCGUGCGAAGGUAGCGCAAUCACUUGUCUUUUAAAUGGAGACCCGUAUGAAUGGCAUAACGAGGGCUUAACUGUCUCCUCUUUCAAGUCAAUGAAAUUGAUCUCCCCGUGCAGAAGCGGGGAUACAAACAUAAGACGAGAAGACCCUAUGGAGCUUUAGACACUAAGACAGCCCACGUUAAGCACCCUGAAUAAAGGACUAAACCAAGUGGGCCCUGCCCUAAUGUCUUUGGUUGGGGCGACCGCGGGGAAUUAAAGAACCCCCACGUGGAACGGGAACACUUUUCCUACAACUAAGAGCUACAGCUCUAGUAAACAGAAUUUCUGACCAGCAAGAUCCGGCAAUGCCGAUCAACGGACCGAGUUACCCUAGGGAUAACAGCGCAAUCCUCUUUUAGAGCCCAUAUCGACAAGGGGGUUUACGACCUCGAUGUUGGAUCAGGACAUCCUAAUGGUGCAGCCGCUAUUAAGGGUUCGUUUGUUCAACGAUUAAAGUCCUACGUG